rnacentral:rRNA from 1 species
GAGUUUGAUCCUGGCUCAGAACGAACGCUGGCGGCGUGCUUAACACAUGCAAGUCGAACGUGAUCCAGAGCUUGCUCUGGUGAAAGUGGCGCACGGGUGAGUAACGCGUGGAUAACCUGCCCUGGUAUCUGGGAUAACAUCUCGAAAGGGGUGCUAAUACCGGAWAAGCCUACGGGAUCUUCGGAUUCUGCAGGAAAAGAAGGCCUCUAUUUAUAAGCUACCGUAUCAGGAUGGGUCCGCGUACCAUUAGCUAGUUGGUGGGGUAAUGGCCUACCAAGGCGACGAUGGUUAGSUGGUCUGAGAGGAUGAUCAGCCACACUGGAACUGAGACACGGUCCAGACUCCUACGGGAGGCAGCAGUGGGGAAUUUUGCGCAAUGGGGGAAACCCUGACGCAGCAACGCCGCGUGAGUGAUGAAGGCUUUCGGGUCGUAAAGCUCUGUCGGAGGGGAAGAAAUGGAACGUGCUAAUAUCACGUUUUCUUGACGGUACCCUCAAAGGAAGCACCGGCUAACUCCGUGCCAGCAGCCGCGGUAAUACAAGGGUYCWCKCSAAAAAWAUWWKYCYCCCCUUUWRGGGGGGCCUUKGGGRAAAACWGGKUCKCAGAAACACCUWRWUUCCAU